CCUACGGGAGGCAGCAGUGGGGAAUAUUGGGCAAUGGAGGAAACUCUGACCCAGCGACGCCGCGUGCGGGAUGAAGGCCUUCGGGUUGUAAACCGCUUUCAGUAGGGAAGAAGCGAAAGUGACGGUACCUACAAAAGAAGCACCGGCUAACUAUGUGCCAGCAGCCGCGGUAAUACAUAGGGUGCAAGCGUUGUCCGGAAUUAUUGGGCGUAAAGAGCUCGUAGGUCGUUUGUUACGUCGGAUGUGAAAACCUGAGGCUCAACCUCAGGCCUGCAUUCGAUACGGGCAAACUAGAGUUUGGUAGGGGAGACUGGAAUUCCUGGUGUAGCGGUGGAAUGCGCAGAUAUCAGGAGGAACACCAAUGGCGAAGGCAGGUCUCUGGGCCAAUACUGACACUGAGGAGCGAAAGUCUGGGGAGCGAACAGGAUUAGAUACCCUGGUAGUCCAGACCGUAAACGGUGGGCACUAGUUGUGGGAACCUUCCACGGUUUCUGCGACGCAGCUAACGCAUUAAGUGCCCCGCCUGGGGAGUACGAUCGCAAGAUUAAAACUUAAAUNAUAGAGCGNGAGAGNGCGAGACGACGACGAGGAGAG
rnacentral:rRNA from 1 species